GGGUGCAGCGACGGUUGCUGUCCAGCUCUGUCCUGUGGCAGCGGUGGUGGGACGUUUGUGUGAACGGUUGAUUUUCAGAGUUGUUGGCUCCCUUCGAGACUCGGACGGUCGCGAUGGCCCGUGGAAACCAGCGGGAACUUGCCCGUCAGAAAAACAUGAAGAAAACACAGGAGAUUAGCAAGGGAAAAAGAAAAGAAGAUAGCUUGUCUGCCUCCCAGAGAAAGCAGAGGGAUUCUGAAAUCAUGCAACAAAAGCAGAAGGCUGCUAAUGAGAAGAAAUCUCUGCAGACAGGUGAAAAAUGAUCCACAGUAAUUUGAAGAACAAAGUGGAUCACAGGAUCUGAAAUCAAGAGUUUGUAGAAUGACCAGCCAUUAAAUAUCUAACAGUUUAUCAUAUCUUAGACUUGUUUACUUUCUAUUUAUUUCUUUUUAGUCCACAAUUACUAAAGCUGCAUGGCAUAGAAUAGUUCUAAGAAAUGGAACAUUACUUCAUGCUUCAUGCUUAUAAAAGUGAUAGCAUCCCUGUGGUUCAUAUUAAUAUCUAGAAUUAUGUAUGUAGAUAAGUAGUUUGAUACCAGAAUUUAAGAUUCAAAUCUUUAUCCUUUCUGUAGUAUUCUCAUGAUAUGUUAACUUUUGUUUGAAAUAAGUCAUUAAGAUCCAUUAUAAUUUUUUACUAUUGGAUUUAUAAAAGUCAAGUUUUCAUGUAACUUUUUAGAGCAUGUUUUGCAUGAAAUAUUAUCUAAAUAUGACACUACUCUGAUUAGUAAACAAAUGUUUUAACAACAGCAA